CUCUGCCUGGCAAGCCAGAAGUCGAAACCCCACGGGGUUUCGUCCAGUGCGCAGGCAAAGGAACCCGGUUCCUUGUCGCGCCAGCUUGUCUGGCCGGCAAAAAACAUAAACAGGUAGCGGGUGGCAAGUAACCUUGCAAGGUGAAAGUCAUCCGCUACC
rnacentral:ncRNA from 21 species